rnacentral:lncRNA from 1 species
AAAAGUAAAAAUAUUUAAACUUAUAAUUUGAAAUUAAAAGAUAAAAUAGCUUAGACGUAAAUAUUUAAAGUAGGUAAUAGUUUUAAUAUAUAUUUAUAGUUUGGGUGGCCUGGGGUAGAAUGGAAGAGGUGAGAUAUCUGGAAUCCACUUGGAAGAUAUUUAUUUAAGCAACUUUUGAGCUUGUCUAGUUGUGUGGUGGAGUCAGCUUUUGAGGCAAAGCAAGGCGAUUCGCGAUAUCGUUACGAUGUGAUGGCCCUUCUUUCUUCCUUUACAUCUCAUUUUCAUUCCUUUCUAACUCUGUCUUUCUUUUCUCUCACGUGACCCACCCUUUUCCUGUCUCCUCUUUCUCCCUUUUACUCUCCAUUUUUGGCAUCUUAUUAUAAUAAACUAACUUUACAUUCUCUUAUCACUACUCUUUCUAAACAUCUAACUUAACCUCCUCCUCACAUCCAAAAACCAAGCUACCGUCAACAACAUUUACAAAGAGAUGAUAUAACAAAGGAAAUCGAAAGAGAGAUUCCAAAUAAAAGAGAAAUCGAAAUAAAGUCAAUAUUGGGAAGGAAGUGUUCAAUAACCAUAUAUCAAGAAAAAUGUUGAAGUAGCAUGUAAACUCUAAAAAGAAAGAUUUUGAAUAGAGUGUAAAAUUAUUUUCGCAAUUUAAUGCUGGACGUUAUUCAUAAUACCACGUAGUGUCACUUAUACUUUAAAAUAUAACAAUUUUCUAUAUCAUCGCAAAAGCAAA